UACGGAGGGUGCAAGCGUUAUCCGGAUUCACUGGGUUUAAAGGGUGCGUAGGCGGGCAGGUAAGUCCGCGGUGAAAUCCUGGGGCUUAACCCCAGAACUGCCGUUGAUACUAUCUGUCUUGAAGAUUGUGGAGGUGAGCGGAAUAUGUCAUGUAGCGGUGAAAUGCUUAGAUAUGACAUAGAACACCAAUUGCGAAGGCAGCUCACUACGCAGUUAUUGACGCUGAGGCACGAAAGCGUGGGGAUCAAACAGG
rnacentral:rRNA from 1 species